UGAGUAACGCGUGAGGAACCUGCCUUCCAGAGGGGGACAACAGUUGGAAACGACUGCUAAUACCGCAUGACACAUGACCGUGGCAUCACGGACAUGUCAAAGAUUUAUCGCUGGAAGAUGGCCUCGCGUCUGAUUAGCUAGUAGGCGGGGUAACGGCCCACCUAGGCGACGAUCAGUAGCCGGACUGAGAGGUUGACCGGCCACAUUGGGACUGGGAUACGGCCCAGACUCCUACGGGAGGCAGCAG
rnacentral:rRNA from 1 species